GACGAACGCUGGCGGCGUGCCUAAUACAUGCAAGUUGAGCGCUUAAGGUUGGUACUUGUCCCAACUGGAUGAGCAGCGAACGGGUGAGUAACGCGUGGGGAAUCUGCCUUUGAGCGGGGGACAACAUUUGGAAACGAAUGCUAAUACCGCAUAAAAACUUUAAACACAAGUUUUAAGUUUGAAAGAUGCAAUUGCAUCACUCAAAGAUGAUCCCGCGUUGUAUUAGCUAGUUGGUGAGGUAAAGGCUCACCAAGGCGAUGAUACAUAGCCGACCUGAGGGGGUGAUCGGCCACAUUGGGACUGAGACACGGCCCAAACUCCUACGGGAGGCAGCAGUAGGGAAUCUUCGGCAAUGGACGAAAGUCUGAACGAGCAACGCCGCGUGAGGGAAGAAGGUUUUCGGAUCGUAAAACUCUGUUGGUAGAGAAGAAAGUUGGUGAGAGUGGAAAGCUCAUCAAGUGACGGUAACUACACAGAAAGGGACGGCUAACUACGUG
rnacentral:rRNA from 1 species